GAGUUUGCUACGAAAAAAUAAAGAAAAUGGCAAAAUAUGCACUAUUUGACUUUCCGGAUGAAGGGGCUGUGGACAUAGGCGAAAUAUCAUGGGUGGUACGCAAAGUAAAUUUAAAAGAUCCUUUUGUAACGUAUAAAGUUAAUUGGCCAAACAAGGGAAGGAUUGUGUCAUGUCCAGGACGGAUUAUAUCAGUCAGUGGUAAGUAACACAAGUUUUUUUCUCCUUUGACUAUGUUUACAUAAAAUAUGUGCAUAACUACAUACAUAUGGUAAUGUUUCAAAUAUCACGGUCAACGUUUUCGUUUCAAAAACGUUGUUAAUUGUUAAGCUCGCAACGGUAAGGCACGGUAAGGCCCCCUAGCUCGCGGCCUAUAAUGUGAGGCGCGGGAAGUGUGGGGUGCGCGGCCUGGAUUUAAAGAGAGAAACUUUAUUUUGCCCAAAAUAAUACUAGCAUUUUAAACACACAUAAUGAAAACGUCAUAAUUUUGACGUUUUCAGACAACAGAGAGGAGAUGGUUUGCAAGAGGAGGCAUUAUCUUGAUGGUGGAGACAAACUGUUGAGCCCGGAGGAGAAAGGGAAGAGGAAAAGGAAGAAACUGAAGAAUGGUUGAUAUUCUGACGACGACGACGACGACGUAGUAUCGCUGGUAGGUAACUAAAGUUUUAUCACAGAAAUGUCAUCUAUAGGCCUUGUGGAUGAGUUAAAUUAAAAUCGUUGAAAAACUAAACUUCAUUAUGAUUUAAAGGAUCCUCAGUUAAGUCAAUGUAAGAAGAAGAAGAAGAGAAAAAACACAGGUCUUAACGUCUUAAUGGAACUGGAAAAGCAAGGAUCAUGUCAGCUGAACUCAAUUAAUGAAACCAGGAAUGAAUGCCAUCACCCAUCUUUUGAGCUGUUGAGGGAGAACAACCACAGGCUGCAGAGGGAAAAUGAUUCUCUCAAGGCAAAAAUAGCAACAUUAAAAUGUAAUGCUAUUGUUGAAAACUUUGUUUUUUUUUACACAAGGGUUUUUCUGUUUUACAUGUUAGCUAAAAGGCUAUUAUGAAUCCUUUGCUCGGUGCUGCCAGACGUUUUGCAGAAGAUGGAGGAGUUUCUCCGCUCAGCACCAAGACCAACGACAACACCAAUACCAAGACCAACACCAAGACCAAGACCAGAACCAACACUAUCACCAGCACCAACAGCAGUUCCAGCCCCAGCAACAGAAGACCCAUCACCAGCUCCAGGUCCAUCAUCAGCAUCAGCAACAGAGGCCCUGGGCCACUCUGUCAUUCCAAAAGGACUUGUGGAGCGCUGCUCCUUCCAAAGCCCCCAGAAGUUCAUAAAUGAUCUCCUACAUGGGAUGUAUACCAGGGAAUAUAUGGCAGGCCAUUCAGUGACUGGCCAGUCAUCCAGCAGCUGCACAGAAGGAAAACCUGGCCUAGCCAAACAGGACCUUGUUGAAAUAACAAGUAGGUAUAUAGAAAUGAGAAAAGAUGUUGGUUGAGUGAUACCCUCAUUCUCAUGCUCAUCUUUCGUGUAUGUGUUUGUGUGUGUGUGUGUGUGU